rnacentral:rRNA from 1 species
UACGAACUGUGCGAACGUUAUUCGGAAUCACUGGGCUUAAAGGGUGCGUAGGCGGUUUUCUAAGUCACGUGUGAAAUCUUCUGGCUCAACCAGAAAACUGCGCGUGAAACUAGUUAACUUGAGUGAGGUAGGGGUGUGUGGAACUUCCGGUGGAGCGGUGAAAUGUGUAGAGAUCGGAAGGAACGCCAGCAGCGAAAGCGGCACACUGGGCCUUUUCUGACGCUGAGGCACGAAAGCUAGGGGAGUGAACGGG